rnacentral:rRNA from 1 species
AUUGAACGCUGGCGGCAGGCUUAACACAUGCAAGUCGGACGAGUGGCGGACGGGUGAGUAACGCAUCGGAACGUACCGAGUAGAGGGGGAUAACUGUCCGAAAGGACAGCUAAUACCGCAUAUUAUUCGAGCGGCCGAUGUCGGAUUAGCUGGUUGGCGGGGUAAAGGCUCACCAAGGCGACGAUCAGUAGCGGGUCUGAGAGGAUGACCAGCCACACUGGGACUGAGACACGGCCCAGACUCCUACGGGAGGCAGCAGUGGGGAAUAUUGGACAAUGGGCGCAAGCCUGAUCCAGCCAUGCCGCGUGUAUGAAGAAGGCCUUCGGGUUGUAAAGGACUUUUGUCGGGGAAGCGGUACCUGAAGAAUAAGCACCGGCUAACUCCGUGCCAGCAGCCGCGGUAAUAC